UUUCCGUAGGUGAACCUGCGGAAGGAUCAUUAAAGAGUUCAUGCCCUCACGGGUAGACCUCCCAACCUUGAAUAUUUUUACCUUAGGUGGUUUGGCAGGUCGUGGAAACACCAUCGGCUCCCGCUUAUGCGUGCGUGCCAGAGGAAAAAAACUCUGUGUUUAGUCGUGUCUGAGUUCUUUAACAUAGUGAAAACUUUCAACAACGGAUCUCUUGGUUCUG
rnacentral:misc_RNA from 1 species